UAUUUACUAUGGAAAAGUCAAGUUACUUAACAUUGUUAAUACAGUAGGGAAAAUAUGGGGCCUUGGAGCACAGGAAAUUUAUUGGGUAUAACAUCCUUUCCUCUUUCCUCUUUCAAGGAUGCCAUGGCUAUAAGACAUAGAUGGGUCAAAGGUAAUUAGAUUACAUCGGUCUCUUCCUCGGGACACUUAAGGGAACCAAAUAAGAAAAAAAAUGACUUGGUUUUUAGAUUAUCCAAUCCAUACUUAGUGAAAGUCAAGUCUAGUCUUAUUCAAGAGGCAAGAGACUGGUUGUAGCACUAAGGUAGAGUAUAGCUAUGGAACUGUCAGGUAAAUAUUGGCCAUGGUCAUUCCACAUCACUGUAGUUCCUGGCCCUGAGUUUGUGUCUAUUUAAGACUUAUAGAAUCUCACAUAAGGAAUGUCAAAAGCUUUCCAGUCUGACCUAACUGAUCAAGCUUCCUUCAAUAGCAUCCCCAGGAAGUGAAGGUGAGGAAUUCACUACAUCUCCCUGGACCAAAUAAUCUUUAAAAGAAGAAUGCCCCUGUAGGGCCUCCAUCACUGUCUUCUGGCUACAGACCUCCUCCUUUUGAGGGCAUUUUCUCUCCACUCAUUUUGCUGGGAGCUCCUAAAUAUCUCUCAAGGCAGAAAACAAUAUUCCCACCUUUAAAAGUCUAUGAUUGAUGAGUGUGAGAAGAGAAAUCCAGGGGUCUCCAAUAGAAUUCCGAAGACACAUGGUUUCAUCCAGUCAUCAGUUUCGUUAGAACUUCGCUUCCAGCUGGGCUCUGCCAUUUAGGAUAAGGAAUCGUGAUGUCACAUCUCUGCUAUUCAUGCUUCUGGCAGGUGUAUGCUAGAUCCCGACUACUAAAUACUUUGUAAUUAGUAUGCCUUGGAGCAAUCACUGUCAUCUUACAUCUGUAACUGGAGUGAGGGCACUGUUAGCAUGCCUGUGUUCGUUUCUCUAAUGUCCCAAGCCUAUAGACCUAUACACAGCUGCCUGAAGGAUCAGUGUUUGAAGCAUGAACCAUAGGCAGACCUCAGAAAUGUAUCUAAUUAUAGCAGUAUCUGUAUGUGCUACGGUAGUGGGAUGUAUUAUUCAUAGCUCAAAAUGAACCACUAUAUAAGGAAGGAAAGAAUCUUACAUAGGCUAUUUGCCUUUAAAUUCACUGUUUCCUUGAAUAGAGAAUAGUUCUAGGAAAUCAAUAGUUGCUUGUGAUGCUUUUAAAAUAAUUCAGAAGAUGUGUGAUAUCUUUCCUGGAUUGUUAACAUGUUGUCGUAUGCU